rnacentral:lncRNA from 1 species
UUGGAACGCGCAAGAGAGCCCAACUUGAAUCUUAAAGGGUUUCUUCAAAACGCAUAUAUUCAUCCAGUUUUUAAAGACGAAGAAUGCGAAGAUGACCAGUAUGAGGAACUUAACGAGGAUUCGGAUGACGAAAAUUGUGUAGUUGUACCUACCAAGCGUCAGUCUCGAAGAACCACCGCUAGCAGCAGCAAUCCGAAUGGUGGUUCGUCACAACCCCUGUCUUGUAAUCAACCUGACACUGGUAAAGGAAAACCGGAGCCUUGAUGUUCAAUGAGUAAAUCAUUAUAACGUUUUGGUUGUAUAUUCAGUACUAAAAGAAACAUAAUUGAUGCAUAUAUAUCAUUUUGUUUGGAUUUUUGUGAACAGUUUUGUAUAUUUCAAUGCUUGUCAUUCUGUUGUAUGAGUUUGUUGUCACUAUUCUAUUACACGAUUGUAUAAAAAAAAGAGAAAUUCUUACCUCUAGAUUCACCGACCAAUAGUGUUUGAGUAUUUAAUAUUUGUUAUCUUUUAAAAAAGGAAACAAAAUUGAAUUUCCAAAUAAGAUUAUAUAUUUAAAAUAAAACAAUAAAAAUACAUAAAAAUAAUUACAAAAAUUAUAUAAAUAAAUAUUGUUAAACCGUUAGCAAAAUACUAAAUCCUAUACCCUAAAUCCUAAACUCCAAACCCUAAAUUAUAAACUUUAAAUCUUGGAUAAACCGUAAACCAUUGGAAAAUUUUAAACCCUAAAUCAUACAUUAAAAACUAAAUCUUAAUAACACUAAACUCUAAACCCUAAUCACUAAGCCAUAAACCAUUGGAUAAACCCUGAACCCUUGGAUAAAUCAUAAACUCUAAAUAAAAAAAAUUUAAAAUUAAAUCCUAGAGUUUAUGAUUUAUCCAAGGGUUUAGGGUUUAGUGAUUAGGAUUUAGGGUUUAGUGUUAUUAAAAUUUAGUUUGUAAUGUAUGAUUUAGGGUUUAAGAUUUUCCAACGGUUUAUGCAUAUAUUCAUCCAGUUUUUAAAGACGAAGAAUGCGAAGAUGACCAGUAUGAGGAACUUAACGAGGAUUCGGAUGACGAAAAUUGUGUAGUUGUACCUACCAAGCGUCAGUCUCGAAGAACCACCGCUAGCAGCAGCAAUCCGAAUGGUGGUUCGUCACAACCCCUGUCUUGUAAUCAACCUGACACUGGUAAAGGAAAACCGGAGCCUUGAUGUUCAAUGAGUAAAUCAUUAUAACGUUUUGGUUGUAUAUUCAGUACUAAAAGAAACAUAAUUGAUGCAUAUAUAUCAUUUUGUUUGGAUUUUUGUGAACAGUUUUGUAUAUUUCAAUGCUUGUCAUUCUGUUGUAUGAGUUUGUUGUCACUAUUCUAUUACACGAUUGUAUAAAAAAAAGAGAAAUUCUUACCUCUAGAUUCACCGACC